GAGGAUUUAGCUUAAUUAAAGUGAUUGAUUUGCAUUCAGUUGAUGUAAGGUAUAGUCUUGCAAUCCUUA
rnacentral:tRNA from 1 species